UCCAUCUUUAAAAUAAGGUCAAAUUCAGAAAUCCAAGAGGCUAGAAGUAACUUAAAGACUUCAAAAGGAAAGGAGAAAAGAGGUCUAAGUUUAAGAUGCACAGCUGAAAAUGUCCAGUGGCCACACUGGAAACUUAUAGUAGUACAUUUACAAAAUACCAUCAAUAAACAAACCUAACCUAAGUAAAUACCUUCACAUUUUAAUUAUUAUUCAAACCCCUACAAGCGUCCUAUCAAGACUCACCCAGGUUGACAAAAAAUGACCUAAAAUAGCUCAUGAGCAUUUCGAUACAUUUGACAUACAGUGCACAGAUAUUGCAUCAUAUGAUUAGUGAUUACGGC
rnacentral:lncRNA from 1 species